rnacentral:lncRNA from 1 species
GGCAAAGCAAGCAAACAGUUAAAAGAUGCACAUGAUGUAUGCCUGUCCUAUUUGGCUGUGAUAUCACAUUGUCGGUUCAAUUACCAACCCGACACAUCUCUAUGGAGAUGUCACCUUUCGGUCUCAUAUUGGGAACCCCCGAGAUAUCGUGUCCGGAUCACAGUCCAGGAUAUCAGUGUCUGCACACUAUAGUGAUUCCAAAAGGAUGUGAGCAGGAUACUCUUGACACUGACCUCACAUCUCAAUGUAAGCAGGAUAAACCAACCGUCCUUACGCCGCUGCCGCGACCUCGACAAGCG